AAGUAUAUUGGUGGAGAAACAGUGGAACCAAAACAAAAUCCCAUCAGGGCCCUGAUUCUGCUAUUCCGUUCAGUUCUCCUCUCUUUAGUUUUCCUGCUGAUUUCUGGUUUUGUGUGCUGUACUCCAAAUUACAGAGCACUCUGUAAACAACCUUGAACAAAAUAUUCCCAAGCAGAUUGUUGUAAAUUACACUAUUUCAAGUUUGUAUUGAGUGAGACUUUGCAUCUUUUGGUCUACUACAUCACCUAGAGCCAACAAUAGUUCGCCAAAGAAAAUUUGUUCAGAGAGUCUGGGUCGAGAAUACGCACUACAUGUCCACUCCUCGGCAGUUUUAAUUUAUUUAGAAAAAAAAUGAUUCUACCUGCUCGCCGCCUUAUAUAUGCUUAGCGUACUGGUUCUCUCUAGCACAGCAUUAUUAAGAAUUUUAUCUUCCCACUUGAUGGUGACAAGUUUUUGUAAGCGUAUCAGGCAGGCCUAUCGCCAGACAUUGGUGCCUGGGGGUACUUCAGAAUAUUCUAGGUGAACACUAAUUUGUAAUAAAGCCAAAGAGGGCUUUUGAAAUAGGUGUAUCACUGUAAAUCUGAGGGAGCACCAUUGAAUUGUAAGAGGGCAGUGCUGUCCAGUGCGGUCCAGUGCAACCCCUUAGCGACGGGCAUGUGAUGAAGUUUCUUGCAUGACCUUGGUAAACUGUUCAGAUAUCACAUCCGAAAGUAUCGUAGUCACUACAUCAGCUUUGUACACAUCAAACGUGGUCUUUCCCAAGCCUUGUGACGAUGACGUCCAAUGACACAGUUAACUUUUGCUAUCCUUGCGUUUAUUUCAUCAUCAAUGUGAGCACUCCUUGACAGUGUACUCUAAAGAUUAUAAUCUGGUGAUCUACGUUCUACUUACAACUGAGAGAUGUCGAGCAAGAUUCAAUGACUUGAACAAACUAAGGAUUCAUUACUAGGCAUUUGACUGCAGCCAUGCUGGAACACCGCCAUUAGUCGAGCAAAUCGACUCCAGGACUUAUUUUUUGAUGCGGUUUUUCGGAUGCGGUAUUUCAGGAUGCGGUAUUUCGGCCAGAUGUUAAAUGUCGGUGGUAUUUCAGGAUGCGGUAUUUCGACCAGAUGUAAAAUGUUGAAAAAUACAGUCUGUCUCAAAACCAGGCGAAACGAAUCGACUCGAAGGUGAGCGAGACGACUGGAAGAUAUCGAUAUUUUCGCUGUUAUUUCAGCUCGCCGGUUUCGAAUACGCGAGUCACAGUGGAAACGAAUUUAUAUCACUAUUCUGAGGUACGUACAGACAGCGUAAUAUUUAUCUGCUUGAUAUGCAAUAGCACCGAACAAGUGAAACAACAUUAAAUUUCCUGUUAGAAGUAGCUUUACUAAUGUAAACAAAAGAGGUUAGUUAGCCGCAAAAAAAGGUUUUAUUAAAACUCAU